CCCUUAGAUGUUCUGGGCUGCACGCGCGCUACACUGAUGCGAUCAACAAGUUUUUCCUAUGUCGAUAGACACGGGUAAUCUUUUGAACUCGCAUCGUGAUGGGGAUAGAUUAUUGUAAUUAUUAAUCUUCAACGAGGAAUUCCUAGUAGGUGCAAAUCAUCAGUUUGCAUCGAUUACGUCCCUGCCCUUUGUACACACCGCCCGACGCUGCUACCGAUUGGUUGAUCUGGUGAAUUAUUCGGACUGCCGGCUGAAGGGGUUUCCUCAUCUGCCAGCGGAAAGUCUUGUUAACCCUAUCAACUAGAGGAAGCAGAAGUCGUAACA
rnacentral:rRNA from 1 species